GUCUACGGCCAUGCCACCCUGAACACGCCCGAUCCCGUCUGAUCUCGCAAGCUAAGCAGGGUCAGGCCUGGUUAGUACUUGGAUGGGAGACCACCUAGGCAGACCAGGUGCUGUAGGCA
rnacentral:rRNA from 1 species